AUUGAACGCUGGCGGCAUGCUUUACACAUGCAAGUCGAACGGCAGCGCGGGCUUCGGCCUGGCGGCGAGUGGCGAACGGGUGAGUAAUACAUCGGAACGUGCCCAGUAGUGGGGGAUAGCUCGGCGAAAGCCGGAUUAAUACCGCAUACGACCUGAGGGUGAAAGCGGGGGAGCUUCGGACCUCGCGCUAUUGGAGCGGCCGAUGGCAGAUUAGCUAGUUGGUGGGGUAAAGGCCUACCAAGGCGACGAUCUGUAGCUGGUCUGAGAGGACGACCAGCCACACUGGGACUGAGACACGGCCCAGACUCCUACGGGAGGCAGCAGUGGGGAAUUUUGGACAAUGGGCGAAAGCCUGAUCCAGCAAUGCCGCGUGUGUGAUGAAGGCCUUCGGGUUGUAAAGCACUUUUGGCGGGAACGAAAAGGACUGUGCCAAUACCACGGUUCGAUGAC
rnacentral:rRNA from 1 species